GAGAUAUUAGUAAAAACAUUACAUAACUUUGUCAAGGUUAAAUUAUAAGUGAGAACCCUAUAUAUCUCU
rnacentral:tRNA from 1 species